rnacentral:lncRNA from 1 species
GAAAUUUGGCCCUAAAAGUUUAUAAUUAUUUCAUUUCGACUUCCCAAAAUUUAAAAGAGUUUCACUUGCACACACCUAUAGUAAAUAUUUUUGGAAAAUUUUCAGUACUAGAUGCAUCUUGCAUAUAUUUACAAGGUCAUGUGAUGAUGAGCUUUUUGAUUAGUGUCUCCAUACUUGUCAUAAAUUCAUAUUUUCACAAAAAAUAUCUAGAAUUAUUGAAAAAGAAAAUAUUCAAAUGAUUUAAUAUGAUGUGAAACUUAUAAAUUGGUAUACCAAAUGCGCACUUGUGUAUUAGUUACCUGAACAUGGUAGCUGAAACCAUCUUCUGUUCUUU